rnacentral:rRNA from 1 species
CCUACGGGUGGCAGCAGUGAGGAAUAUUGGUCAAUGGACGAGAGUCUGAACCAGCCAAGUAGCGUGAAGGAUGACUGCCCUAUGGGUUGUAAACUUCUUUUAUAAAGGAAUAAAACGACCCACGUGUGCCGUUUUGCAUGUACUUUAUGAAUAAGCAUCGGCUAACUACGUGCCAGCAGCCGCGGUAAUACGGAGGAUCCGAGCGUUAUCCGGAUUUAUUGGGUUUAAAGGGAGCGUAGAUGGGUUGUUAAGUCAGUUGUGAAAGUUUGCGGCUCAACCGUAAAACUGCAAUUGAUACUGGCAGACUUGAGUACGGGUGAGGUAGGCGGAAUUCGUGGUGUAGCGGUGAAAUGCUUAGAUAUCACGAAGAACCCCGAUUGCGAAGGCAGCUUACUAAACUGUGACUGACAUUGAGGCUCGAAAGUGUGGGUAUCAAACAGGAUUAGAUACCCCAGUAGUC